rnacentral:rRNA from 1 species
AUGAACGCUGGCGGCGUGCCUAAUACAUGCAAGUCGAGCGAACGGACGAGAAGCUUGCUUCUCUGAUGUUAGCGGCGGACGGGUGAGUAACACGUGGAUAACCUACCUAUAAGACUGGGAUAACUUCGGGAAACCGGAGCUAAUACCGGAUAAUAUUUUGAACCGCAUGGUUCAAAAGUGAAAGACGGUCUUGCUGUCACUUAUAGAUGGAUCCGCGCUGCAUUAGCUAGUUGGUAAGGUAACGGCUUACCAAGGCAACGAUGCAUAGCCGACCUGAGAGGGUGAUCAGCCACACUGGAACUGAGACACGGUCCAGACUCCUACGGGAGGCAGCAGUAGGGAAUCUUCCGCAACGGGCGAAAGCCUGACGGAGCAACGCCGCGUGAGUGAUGAAGGUCUUCGGAUCGUAAAACUCUGUUAUUAGGGAAGAACAUAUGUGUAAGUAACUGUGCACAUCUUGACGGUACCUAAUCAGAAAGCCACGGCUAACUACGUG